rnacentral:lncRNA from 1 species
AUGCACCUGAGUGCUCAGGCAAGUCCAGAGAAGCUGGCGAAGACGGAUCUACAGGAACUGUCUCAGCGACAGCAGAAGAUCCCUGCUGCAAGUCCGACACGACUUGGCGGGCUGCGUUCAGACGUGCCCUCAAGAGCUGGAUGGUUAGCUUUGGAUCGUUCUGGAUGCGUGGCUUGCGGGAAGCGGGCACCCCUGGCGACGCUUGGCAGGAGGAGGGUGAUCGUGUGGCAAGGAGUGGACCAGCUUGCCGUGGCGCGUGUGGACCCUCCCGGGGCAACGGGACUUGUGGUAGUCGGCGCAUUUCCAGACCAUCUUGCUCUUGCUCUCCCGCUCCUUCCGAUACAGGUACCCUUCGUGAAGCAGCUGAUCCCUGCCUUUCCGACUCUUGACGUAUUUCAGAGCCAUUUUCAUGGGGGAAGGAGGAGGAGGAGGAAAAUCAAUAAAUCAAAUGAAAGAGAUGGAUGGUUUCGGAAGAGUGGAGUGGGGGGAAAACAACAACCAGUAAGGGAGGAAAACGAAAAUCCCUGCAACAAAGCCAAGGGACGCCGGAGAUCGGCCGAACAGCUGCCGGGAAACGCCAAGGUUCUCCUUCUGGUCCGGCUCAGGGUCUGCGGGUGGUGCGCGCGUGUCCCUCCGCCUCCGCUUUAACGCGAUCGGGAAAGCCGUGCAAGGAAGGGAAAUAUGUGAGGUUUCCUCGCUCCGCUGUCCCAGCCCUUUUUCCUCCUCUUCCCCUGUAUCCGGCGUUAAUUGUUAAGUCGCAGCAGCCCUUGGGGUGCGGGUUGCACGGAGGCAGGAGGAGCCCGGAGCCAUCCGGCUGACAAGUUCUCACUCCGGUCGGAGAAGGUGGAGCACGCGACGAGAAGGAAAGCGGCGUUCGGGUUGGACGGGGAUGCGGACUAAGCCCCGCCCCGCUUUCGCUCGUCAGCAGGUGGAGGAGGAGACAGCGUCGGAUCGGCUUCGACCGCGCAGGAAGGAAAAGCUUUGCAAAGAGAAAGCUGCUUUCGCCUCGGAGCCCCCUAGUGGAGAAACGGGGUUCCCUCACAGGCGGGUAUAGGAUGGCAGCCCUCAAACGUGCUGAUUUCAGCUGGAAUGAUCGCUCACAACAAACUUAUCUGGGCUGGAUCCACUAGUGGCAAUGUGCGCUUCCCACUGAGGAUCGAGAGCUCGCUAAUAAUAAUAAUAAUAAUAAUAAUAAUAAUAAUAAUAAUAAUAAUAAUUUUGUUGGAAGCCGCCCAGAGUGGCUGGGGAAAGUAUGUAUGUAUGUAAAAAGGUAAAGGUACCCCUGACCAUUAGGUCCAGUUGCGGAUGACUCAUCUCGCUCUAUAGGCCGAGGGAGCCGGCAUUUGUCCGCAGACAGAUUCUGGGUCAUGUGGCCAGCAUGACUAAGCCGCUUCUGGCGAACCAGAGCAGCGCACAGAAAC